rnacentral:misc_RNA from 1 species
CGCACAUUGCGCCCGCCAGCAUUCUGGCGGGCAUGCCUGUCCGAGCGUCAUUUCAACCCUCAGGCCCUGCCUGGCGUUGGAGGACUGCGCCUGCAGCCUCCCAAAGCGAGCGGCGGCGCCGCCCCGAAUCCGAACGCAGUAGUUACUUCUCGUUCUGGGCCCGGGGCGCUGUCUUGCCGGAAAACCCCCAACUUUAUCGUGGUUGACCUCGGAUCAGGUAGGAAUACCCGCUGAACUUAA